rnacentral:rRNA from 1 species
AGUAACUGCGAGUGAAGCGGGAAAAGCUCAAAUUUUGAAUCUGGCGGUCAUUCGGCCGUCCGAGUUGUAAUCUAGAGAAGCGUUUUCCGCGCUGGACCGUGUACAAGUCUCCUGGAAGGGAGCGUCAUAGAGGGUGAGAAUCCCGUCUUUGACACGGACUACCAGUGCUAUGUGAUGCGCUCUCGACGAGUCGAGUUGUUUGGGAAUGCAGCUCAAAAUGGGUGGUAAAUUCCAUCUAAAGCUAAAUACAGGCGAGAGACCGAUAGCGAACAAGUACCGUGAGGGAAAGAUGAAAAGAACUUUGGAAAGAGAGUUAAACAGUACGUGAAAUUGCUGAAAGGGAAACGCUUGAUGUCAGUCACGUCGGCUGGGGAUCAACCUCGCAUUCUCGCUGGGUGCAUUUCCUAGUCGACGGGUCAGCAUCAGUUUCGGUCGCCAUACAAUGGCAAAGGGAAUGUGGCACUCUUCUUGAGUGUGUUAUAGCCUUUCGUCGCAUGUGGUGGUCGGGACUGAGGAACUCGGCACGACUUUAGGUCUGUGUCUAGGAUGUUGGCAUAAUGGCCUUAAGCGACCCGUCUUGAAACACGGACCAAGGAGUCUAACAUGCCUGCGAGUGUUC